AGAGGUCUGCUUCAGGAGGUGGGAAGUACUGAAAACAGAAAACCUUGGCGUGAUAGCGCCAGCUCCCCAACCCUCCCCCACACCAGCCCCCAACAGCCUCUAGCCGCAUUAGGCAGAUGGCAGGAGAAUUAAGCUUGCUGCCAGAGACCACAAGGCCUGCAGGGGUAGGAGGACCAGUGAGCAGAUUAAGCCCUGGAUCGUCUGCCCCCUAAAAGCCCCUGACCCAUUUCUCUGUCGGGAAAGGAAACUGCUGUGAGGGACACCCAACGGGAACGGUGAAGAGAACUCGGGGGCCUGCCCCAUCCUGUGCUAAGGGACCCAGGCUUGUUCUGAGACGCCGCAAGGUGGGCUCCUUUCCUUUGCGGCCCCUCGGCCGUCCGGGGUCUUGGAACUGGUGUUUGGGGUCUUCCUUUUUAACCGACCAACAGAGGCAGGCUGGGUGCCAGGACCAGCUUCCACCGGCCGGAGGUGCUUCCCGGCCCGCUGGGCAAGGACAGGGGGGCUCGGGCAGGGUCUGAGGGAGAUCUGGGAUGGGCGGGGACGGUAAGGACAGCAGGUGACAAGCCGCGCCCUGAGCGAAGCUCUCGGCUCCGGGGUCGUGAGCGACCUAGGUUCCCCCAGAGUCCAGCUGGUCUCCUGCGGCACUUACG